UCGAGCACGUGCGCAUGCCUUAACUAAAAACCAUAGAUAAACUAGUUUGUCUAUGACUCUAUGCUAAGAACUAAUAAGAGAGUGCACAAACGUCACUAAAUAAUUCCUUAAUGGACUAUAGGUGUAUUUGAAAAAAUUAAAUUUAAUUUUAUCAAUGUCAAACAUCAAAGUAUAGAACAAAUAGAAACUUACUGACUAUUUUUUUUCUUGUUUUCUUAUUAGUUUCUAACCUCAAAAUGGUGUUUCGUGUUUAAUCUGGUAUCAAGAUGGUAUGUCUAUAGAUUCCCAGUCAUUCAUAUAUUCACGGAAAUGACACUGCUGAUUUGUUAGCUAAUGAAGAUACAUAUGAAGUUGAUCCCCCAAAUAUUCCUGGUGGACCCCAAGAACUUUGGCCCAGGUUUCGAUCUGAUCAAGCACAAAGUUGGAGAGAUGAAUUUUUGGAUAUAUGUACCCAUAAGGGUCGAAUAUAUGCUUCAUUCCUUAAUAUCAAUUCAGUUUAUAGUACACUCUGGUUUGCAAAAAAUGAUCGUCCGCGCCGUUUUUUCACGACCAUUCUCCGACUCAGGUCUGGCCACUGCCUCACCCCUUAUCACUUAACAGGAUAGGUCUCAGAGAAUCCGCUUUUUGUGAGUAUGGCGUAUUUGGGGAUAUAACACACAUGUUUUUUUGUUGCGAAAACAACUUUUUUAAUUGUAACGCUCUAUACUCCACACUCUCCUCAUUUGAUUUUCCUUUACCAUUAAAUUUAUUUGAGGUCUUUAGAUAAUCAGUCCUGGGAUUGGACUUCCAAGACUCCUGUUGCCCCAGGACCCAGGAUCAAGACUGACAUUCACACUACCGAGAUUGGGUACAUGGUUUUUCAGGCUGAGCCCAUAUUCAGACUCUCUCAAUCAGAUUGAUCUGUUUGAGAAAAAGAAGAAAACUAACCAAAGAGUACUCAUCACAGAGUGAAGAUGGAAAUGGGAGAAAAUGAGGAAAGCUAUGAAAAAGGAAAUUCAUUCGACUUAGCUUUUCAGUACACAACUGAUGGGGGGCAUAUUGAUGAAAAGACUGAAAUCAUGGAUAUUUCUCAUCAAUACACUGAUGAGAAUGGAAUAAGAUUGUCUAUUAAAUAUGAAAUAGACGAGUUUG